rnacentral:rRNA from 1 species
GAAAGUAGGAAAGGGCGCAUGGCGGAUGCCUUGGCUCUCGGAGGCGAUGAAGGACGUGAUAAGCUGCGAUAAGUCACGGGGAGGUGCAAAUAACCCUUGAUCCGUGAAUCUCCGAAUGGGACAACCCGUUACCUUGAAGAGGUAACAUCCAUCAAUGAUGGAGGCUAACGCAGGGAACUGAAACAUCUUAGUACCUGCAGGAAAAGAAAAUAACAAUGAUUCCCCCAGUAGUGGCGAGCGAACGGGGAAGAGCCCAAACCAUUCAUGUUACGGCAUGGAUGGGGUUGUAGGACCACGGCGUUGCAAGAACUCUUGUGAGAAGAACAGCCUGGAAAGACUGACCACAGACGGUGACAGUCCGGUAUUCGAAGCAAGACGAAGCAUAGUGGUAUCCUGAGUAGCGCGGAACACGAGGAAUUCUGCGUGAAUCUGCCGGGACCAUCCGGUAAGGCUAAAUACUCCCGAGAGACCGAUAGUGGACCAGUACCGUGAGGGAAAGGUGAAAAGCACUUCGAACAGAAGAGUGAAAGAGUACCUGAAACCGUGCGCCUACAAGCGGUCGGAGCACGAAAGUGUGACGGCGUGCCUUUUGCAUAAUGAACCUACGAGUUACCGUAUCUGGCAAGGUUAAGGGUCACGAGACCUGCAGCCGAAGCGAAAGCGAGUCUGAAGAGGGCGUCGAGUCAGUUGCGGUAGACGCGAAACCAAGUGAUCUACCCUUGGCCAGGAUGAAGUCUGGGUAACACCAGAUGGAGGUCCGCACCAAUAAGCGUUGAAAAGCUUCUGGAUGAGCUGAGGGUAGGGGUGAAAGGCUAAUCAAACUUGGAGAUAGCUCGUACUCCCCGAAAUGCAUUUAGGUGCAGCCUCGCGGGUUACUGAUGUGAGGUAGAGCGACUGAUUGGAUGCGAGGGCUUCACCGCCUAUCAAGUCCUGACAAACUCCGAAUGCGCAUCAGUUUUACCGCGGGAGUGAGGGCAUGGGUGCUAAGGUCCGUGCCCGAGAGGAGAAGAAUCCGGACUAUCAGCUAAGGCCCCGAAAUGACAGCUAAGUUAAACUAACGAAGUCUGAUUGCUAAGACAGCUAGGAUGUUGGCUUGGAAGCAGCCAUUCAUUUAAAGAGUGCGUAACAGCUCACUAGUCGAGGAAUCGGGCGUGGAUAAUAAUCGGGUAUUAAGUUGUCUGCCGAAGCUAUAGAAUCAGCAAUGAUUGGUAGGGGAGCAUUCCAUUCUGCGUUGAAGGCGUGGCGUGAGCCAUUCUGGAGCGUAUGGAAAAGCAAAUGUAGGUAUAAGUAACGAUAAAGGGGGUGAGAAACCCCCUCGCCGAAAGACUAAGGUUUCCUGAUCAACGCUAAUCGGAUCAGGGUAAGUCGGGUCCUAAGGUUCAGCCGAACGGCGAGACCGAUGGCAGAAACGGUUAAUAUUCCGUUACUACCUUUGAGGGUGACGUGGGGACGCAGGAGUGACACCGCCGCCGGCUGACGGAAUAGCCGGUUAAAGAGUGUAGACGUUGAUUUCCGCAGGCAAAUCCACGGAAAGAGUCGAACUUGACAGUAUGGAACGUCCUUCGGGACAAUCCAAUAGUGCGGGUAAGCAGACUGCCGAGAAAAUCCGCUAAACAUAACUUCAGAGGUACCCGUACCGCAAACGGACACACGUAGUCGGGUUGAAUAUACUAAGGCGCUUGAGUGAAUCACGGUUAAGGAACUAGGCAAACUGACCCUGUAACUUCGGGAUAAAGGGUCCCUACCCAGAAAUGGGAGGGCGCAGAGAAUAGGUCCAGGCAACUGUUUAACAAAAACACAGGGCUGUGCCAAUAUGAAAGUAGACGUAUACAGCCUGACACCUGCCCGGUGCUGGAAGGUUAAGAGGAGAUGUCAUCGCAAGAGAAGCAUUGAAUUGAAGCCCCAGUAAACGGCGGCCGUAACUAUAACGGUCCUAAGGUAGCGAAAUUCCUUGUCGGGUAAGUUC